rnacentral:sRNA from 1 species
GUGUGUGAGGACAUUUCAGUGGGUGAGUAUGUGUGUGUGCUGUUUGCUUGGCAUGCCAUGUCAUCAAUUUCGCCUUGAAUUUGUUUACCCGCUUGGCCUGGUGACUGUCAUUCCUGCCGAGUGCUGGGAAACCGAGGAAAACCAGGAAAAUGAGCAGAGAUGAGGUGGAUAUUUGCCGUAAUUUGAGGAAGAACCGUUUUGUGGCGCAGGGAGGGAAAUAUGCUUUUCUACCUCUAAUUAGGAUGUUAUCAGAUGGGAAAGGAAAAGGUAUUUUCGAAGGAAAUUCAACUGGAAUAGAAAGGAAAACAAGCACCGUUAGCUACAUAGCUAAGUCAAAAGGAUAUCUGUAAAAUCUUCCUUUCUGUAUACUGUAAAAGUCAAUAAAACUCAUUAACUUACCCCUUGUGAAUAAACUGCA